rnacentral:rRNA from 1 species
AUUGAACGCUGGCGGCAUGCCUUACACAUGCAAGUCGAACGGCAGCGGGGGAGAAGCUUGCUUUUCCUGCCGGCGAGUGGCGAACGGGUGAGUAAUACAUCGGAACGUACCCAGUAGUGGGGGAUAGCCCGGCGAAAGCCGGAUUAAUAACGCAUAUGCCCUGAGGGGGAAAGCGGGGGGCCCAAAGGCCUCGCGCUAUUGGAGCGGCCGAUGGCUGAUUAGCUAGUUGGUGGGGUAAAGGCCUACCAAGGCGACGAUCAGUAGCUGGUCUGAGAGGACGACCAGCCACACUGGGACUGAGACACGGCCCAGACUCCUACGGGAGGCAGCAGUGGGGAAUUUUGGACAAUGGGCGAAAGCCUGAUCCAGCAAUGCCGCGUGUGCGAAGAAGGCCUUCGGGUUGUAAAGCACUUUUGUUUGGAAAGAAAAGGUUUGGGUUAAUACCCUGGACUGAUGACGGUACCAAUCGAAUAAGCACCGGCUAACUACGUGCCAGCCGCCGCCGUAA